rnacentral:rRNA from 1 species
UCGAACGAACUCUGGUAUUGAUUGGUGCUUGCAUCAUGAUUUACAUUUGAGUGAGUGGCGAACUGGUGAGUAACACGUGGGAAACCUGCCCAGAAGCGGGGGAUAACACCUGGAAACAGAUGCUAAUACCGCAUAACAACUUGGACCGCAUGGUCCGAGUUUGAAAGAUGGCUUCGGCUAUCACUUUUGGAUGGUCCCGCGGCGUAUUAGCUAGAUGGUGGGGUAACGGCUCACCAUGGCAAUGAUACGUAGCCGACCUGAGAGGGUAAUCGGCCACAUUGGGACUGAGACACGGCCCAAACUCCUACGGGAGGCAGCAGUAGGGAAUCUUCCACAAUGGACGAAAGUCUGAUGGAGCAACGCCGCGUGAGUGAAGAAGGGUUUCGGCUCGUAAAACUCUGUUGUUAAAGAAGAACAUAUCUGAGAGUAACUGUUCAGGUAUUGACGGUAUUUAACCAGAAAGCCACGGCUAACUACGUGCCAGCAGCCGCGGUAAUACGUAGGUGGCAAGCGUUGUCCGGAUUUAUUGGGCGUAAAGCGAGCGCAGGCGGUUUUUUAAGUCUGAUGUGAAAGCCUUCGGCUCAACCGAAGAAGUGCAUCGGAAACUGGGAAACUUGAGUGCAGAAGAGGACAGUGGAACUCCAUGUGUAGCGGUGAAAUGCG